GACGAACGCUUGCGGCGUGCUUAACACAUGCAAGUCGAACGGAGUGGCGAACGGGUGAGUAACACGCGGGUGAUCUGCCUUGCACCUCGGGAUAAGCUUGGGAAAAUGGGUCUAAUACCGGAUAGUGCAAGAUGAGCUCGCUGCCAAUCAGCUUGUUGGUGGGGUAAUGGCCUACCAAGGCGUAGACGGGUAGCCGGCCUGGGAGGGUGUGAGGCCAAGUUGGGACAGAGAUACGGCCCAGACUCCUACGGGAGGAAGCAGUGGGGAAUAUUGCACAAUGGGCGGAAGCCUGAUGCAGCGACGCCGCGUGGGGGGUGAAGGCCUUCGGGUUGUAAACUUCUUUCGACAGGGACGCGGUACCUGUAUAAGAAGCGCCGGCUAACUACGUGCCAGCAGCCGCGGUAAUAC
rnacentral:rRNA from 1 species